AACGAACGCUGGCGGCAUGCCUAACACAUGCAAGUCGAACGAGACCUUCGGGUCUAGUGGCGCACGGGUGCGUAACGCGUGGGAAUCUGCCCUUGGGUUCGGAAUAACAGUUAGAAAUGACUGCUAAUACCGGAUGAUGUCUUCGGACCAAAGAUUUAUCGCCCAAGGAUGAGCCCGCGUAGGAUUAGCUAGUUGGUGAGGUAAAAGCUCACCAAGGCGACGAUCCUUAGCUGGUCUGAGAGGAUGAUCAGCCACACUGGGACUGAGACACGGCCCAGACUCCUACGGGAGGCAGCAGUGGGGAAUAUUGGACAAUGGGCGAAAGCCUGAUCCAGCAAUGCCGCGUGAGUGAUGAAGGCCUUAGGGUUGUAAAGCUCUUUUACCCGGGAUGAUAAUGACAGUACCGGGAGAAUAAGCCCCGGCUAACUCCGUGCCAGCCGCCGCAGUAACAC
rnacentral:rRNA from 1 species